AAUAAUACAAUUAAAUUUUAUCAAAAAUUAAUUAAUUUUUAAUAUAAAAAAUUUAAUGUAAGAUUUAUUAGGUGAAAUUUUAAAUUUUAAGAAAAUUUGUUAUGUGUUAAUGAAUUUAAGAAAUUUUAAUUUUAAACUAGGAUUAGAUACCCUAUUAUUUUAAAAUGUAAAUUAUUAUUUUUGAUUAGUAUUAGUUAUGGUCUUGAAAAUUAAAAAUUUUGGCGGUAUUUUAGUCUAUUCAGAGGAACCUGUCCUAUAAUUGAUAAUCCACGAGUUAAUUUACUUUUUUUUGAAGUUUGUAUAUCGUCGUAGUUUGAAUAUUUUAUAAGAAUGUUAAUAUUCAAAAUUUAAUUGUUAAAGUAAAUCAGAUCAAGGUAUAGCUUAUAAAAAAGAAGAGAUGGGUUACAUUAAUAUUAAUUUAGGAUAUUAAAUUGUAAAUUUAGUUGAAUUUGGAUUUGAUCGUAAUUUAAUUUAAAUAAAUUAGAUGAUUUUAGCUCUAAAAUAUGUACAUAUCGCCCGUCGCUUUCACCUUAAAGUGAAAUAAGUCGUAACAAAGUAGAUUUACUGGAAAGUGAAUCUAGAAUGACAAAUUAGAGCUUGAUAAAAGUAUUUUAUUUACAUUAAAAAGUUAAUUGUGAGAUUCAAUUUAAUUUGAAAUUAAUAAAUUAUUAAAUUUUAUUGAUUAUGUAAAUUUUAAUUAAAGUAAUUUUUUUUUAGUAGAUUUUUAGAAAAAAUUAUAAUAAUGAUAGAGAAUUAUUGUAUUGUGAGAGAAUUUGAUUAAUUAAAUUAAAGAAAAAUUAUGAUUUU
rnacentral:rRNA from 1 species